UCCUACGGGAGGCAGCAGUAGGGAAUCUUCCGCAAUGGACGAAAGUCUGACGGAGCAACGCCGCGUGAGUGAUGAAGGCUUUCGGGUCGUAAAACUCUGUUGUUAGGGAAGAACAAGUGCUAGUUGAAUAAGCUGGCACCUUGACGGUACCUAACCAGAAAGCCACGGCUAAAUACGUGCCAGCGGCCGCGGUAAUACGUAUGUCGCAAGCGUUAUCCGGAAUUAUUGGGCGUAAAGCGCGUCUAGGCGGCCUUUUAAGUCUGAUGUGAAAAUGCGGGGCUCAACUCCGUAUUGCGUUGGAAACUGGAAGGCUAGAGUAUCAGAGAGGUGGGCGGAACUACAAGUGUAGAGGUGAAAUUCGUAGAUAUUUGUAGGAAUGCCGAUUGGGAAGCCAGCUCACUGGAUGAAUACUGACGCUGAAGCGCGAAAGCGUGGGGAGCAAACGGGAUUAGAUACCCUGGUAGUCCACGCCGUAAACGAUGAGUGCUAAGUGUUAGAGGGUUUCCGCCCUUUAGUGCUGAAGUUAACGCAUUAAGCACUCCGCCUGGGGAGUACGGUCGCAAGACUGAAACUCAAAGG
rnacentral:rRNA from 1 species